rnacentral:rRNA from 1 species
GACGAACGCUGGCGGCGUGCUUAACACAUGCAAGUCGAACGAAGUGGCGAACGGGUGAGUAACGCGUAAUCAACCUGCCCUUCAGAGGGGGACAACAGUUGGAAACGACUGCUAAUACCGCAUACUGAAGGUGGGGAUUGCGUCUGAUUAGCUAGUUGGAGGGGUAAAGGCCCACCAAGGCGAUGCUCAGUAGCCGGUCUGGGAGGAGGAACGGCCAAAUUGGGAAUGGAACACGGCCCAGACUCCUACGGGGGGCAGCAGUGGGGAAACUUCCGCAAUUGACGGAAGUCUGACGGAGCAACGCCGCGUGAGUGAUGACGGCCUUCGGGUUGUAAAGCUCUGUUAAUCGGGACGCGGUACCUGAAUAGAAAGCCACGGCUAACUACGUGCCAGCAGCCGCGGUAAUAC